AAUUGGGAGAAGGGGUGCUUCCUGUAGCAAUCGGAAUGCGUGGAUGGCUGAGAACAAACCCUCAUCACCUGAACCGGAUAAUACCGGCGUAGGAAACUCUCCGUCUGACUAUCU
rfam:Porphyromonas gingivalis W83, complete genome.